rnacentral:rRNA from 1 species
GACGAACUCUUUCUUCGUGCUUAACACAUGCAAGUCGAGCGGAAAGGCCCUGCUUUUGUGGGGUGCUCGAGUGGCGAACGGGUGAGUAACACGUGAGUAACCUGCCCUUGACUUUGGGAUAACUUCAGGAAACUGGGGCUAAUACCGGAUAGGAGCUCCUGCUGCAUGGUGGGGGUUGGAAAGUUUCGGCGGUUGGGGAUGGACUCGCGGCUUAUCAGCUUGUUGGUGGGGUAGUGGCUUACCAAGGCUUUGACGGGUAGCCGGCCUGAGAGGGUGACCGGCCACAUUGGGACUGAGAUACGGCCCAGACUCCUACGGGAGGCAGCAGUGGGGAAUAUUGCACAAUGGGCGGAAGCCUGAUGCAGCAACGCCGCGUGCGGGAUGACGGCCUUCGGGUUGUAAACCGCUUUCGCCUGUGACGAAGCGUGAGUGACGGUAAUGGGUAAAGAAGCACCGGCUAACUACGUG